UAAGAAAUUUCAUCACUGCUUCUUAGAAAAAGAAAUAAUAAAAAGACAAAGACCAAGACUCAUGAAAAAGACUUUGAUUUUUGGUGUAAAGUGUAUACAAGAUAGGCUCAUCCAGAGUUCAUAAUUACUUCAUUCCCAAAACCAAACUCAAACCCACAAACAGAUUUUCAUAAGAUGGCUUUAGAAUCACUUGCUUCCAUUUUUGCUGACAAAGUCCUUGAAAAGCUUGCUUCUCACACCUACCAAGAAAUUUCAAUUGCGUGGGGUGUCCAUGAGGAACUCAGAAAGCUUGAGGAUGUCUUGACUACUAUCAAAGCUGUACUUUUGGAUGCUGAGGAAAAACAAGUGGAGAAACGCGAGCUGCGAGUGUGGUUGGCUAAGCUUAAAAAUGCUCUUUAUGAUGCUGAAGAUCUCCUCGAUGAAUUUGAAUGUGAGCAGCAAAGAAAACAAGUCCUUAAAUUGUAUGGAACCACUGCCAAAAAGGUGGGUCGCUUUCUUUCACCCUCUAAUCCCCUUGUAUUCCGUUUUAAAAUGGGUCAUCGGAUGAAAGAAAUAAGGGAGAGAUCAGAUGAAAUUGCAUCUCAUAAGGCCAAGUUUCAUCUAGAAAGAAAAGAAGCAAUGCGUGUGAUACCCAUAGAAAGAACAAUGACUCACUCCUUUGUAGAGGCUUCUAAUGUUAUUGGAAGAGAUGAGGAUAAAGAAAAUAUCAUUAGACUUUUACAGAAGCCUAAUGAUAGUGGCAAAACUGAUGUUAUUGCCAUUGUUGGAAUUGGUGGUUUAGGGAAGACCGAACUCGCCAAAUUAGUUUAUAAUGAUGAACGAGUGCAAAACAACUUUGAACUUAAGAUGUGGGUUUGUGUAUCAGAGGAUUUUAAUGUAAAACUUUUGACUGAGAAAAUUAUUAGAUGCAUCAUCGAAGAUAGAGAGAACACAAGCAAUUUGGAUAUGGAGCAAUUACAAAGAAACAUGCGAGAAACAAUUGGUGAUAAGAAGUAUUUACUCAUCUUAGAUGACGUAUGGAAUGAUGAUCCUAUGAGAUGGAAUUUGUUGAAUGAGCUUUUGUGUACGGGUGCUAAUGGGAGCAAAAUCUUGGUGACAACUCGUAGCAAUAAAGUAGCAUCAGUUAUGGGCAGUGUUUCAGAAUAUGAGUUAAAGGGUCUUCCUCAUGAUGAGUGUAUGGCUUUGUUUACCAAAUGUGCAUUUAAAGCAGGUGAAGAGAAAUGCUAUCCAAACUUGGUGAAAGUUGGGGAAGAAAUUGUAAGAAAAUGCAAAGGGGUUCCAUUAGCAGUGACGACAAUAGCAUCACUUCUUUUUACGCAAAGAGAGGGAAGAUAUUGGAAAUCAAUAAGAGAUAAUGGGUUAUGGCAAAUGGAGCAGAAGGAAAAUGAUAUUUUACCUGCUUUAAGAUUAAGUUAUGAUCAUUUACCUGCUUAUUUGAAAAGGUGCUUUGCUUAUUGUUGUUUUUAUCCAAAGGAUUAUCAAUACAAGCAUUUGAGAUUAAUUCAAUUUUGGAUGGUACAUGGACUUGUCGAAUCAACGAAUGAAAAUGAAGAGCUAGAAGAUAUUGGGUUGCGCUAUUUUCAGGAGUUGAGGUCUAGAUCAUUUUUUCAAGAUUUUGAGGAAUAUGAUAUAUUCAUUAGGUGUAAAAUGCAUGAUUUAGUGCAUGAUCUUGCAUUAUCAUUGACACAAAAUGAAUUUUCAACAAUAACCUCAAGCACCAAACACAUCUCAAAGGGUGUUCGCCAUUUGUUAUUUCUUUCAAUUCCCCAAAAUCUUCCCACUCUCUUACAAGGCUUAGACCAUGUGCGAACUGCUAUUUUUAACACUGAAGAAAUGAGCCAAUCAGCCUUGGAUUUAUGUUUGUUAAGAUUUCAAUAUCUGCGGAUGUUGGACAUGAGCCAAGUCCGAUUAAAGGUAUCGCUAGAAAAGAUUGGUUCAUUAAAGCAUUUGAGGUUUUUAUUUUCACAUGAAGUUUCUGGAAUUAAAAAGAUCCCCAAUUCAUUUUGCAAGUUACAGAAUUUACAAUUUUUAUGGCUCGGGGAACAAUUUACAUGGCUUAGGGAAAAUAUUGAGGAGUUGCCCAGUGAAAUAAGGUACUUGAUUAACCUUAGAUUUCUAAUUUUUUCCACAAAGCAGAAGUGUUUGGCAAAGAAUGGACUAGGGUGCUUGACAUCUCUUAGAUUUUUGUGGAUUCAAAGAAGUCGAUAUUUAGAAUACUUGUGUGAAGACAUGCAAGGUCUCAAACAUCUUCGAACAUUGAUUAUUACUAGCUGUAAAAUCUUAAUCUCUUUGCCUCAAAGUAUAAAAUACCUUACUGCACUAGAGACUCUUCAUAUUGAAAAUUGUACAAACCUUAAUUUGACUUGGGAGGUAGAUGAUCAAGAUUUGGCUCAAUUCAGCCUUCAACAGCUGACACUUGGACGGUUACCAAAAUUGGUAGAGUUACCAGAAUGGCUUCUUCGAGGAUCCACCAACACUCUGCAACUAUUAAAACUAGGACGUUGUGAAAAGCUCAAGAAAUUGCCUGCUUACUUACAUAAUAUGAUAUCUCUUCAACAACUUGUGAUUUACUAUUGUGAUGAACUAAGCAGUAGAUGUGAACGUGAAGUUGGUGAAGAUUGGUACAAAAUUGCUCAUAUCCCAAAAAUUAUUCUUGGUGGUUCUGAGAUCGGUUCAACAGAAGAUUAGAUACACAUAAUGGGAAGGGAACACAGGCUACUGCUUAAUGUGACCAUAUAUAUAUAUAUAUAUAUAUAUAGUAGUUUUGAUGUCCUUCAACUCUCGUGGAAGCUCUCUUCCUCCUCUCCAGCCUCUGUGUUGAAGAAGCAAAGAUGGCUAUAAAUUAGUUGUUGGCUGAAGCUGGUUGUUGCUAAUUUAAACUGAUUUCUAAUUGCUAAAACUACAAAUCUUCUUCUUUGUUCACUUGGGUGUCCGUACGUGAUGGGCAAUCUUCGGAAGAUGAAGAAGAGGUCAUGGGUUUCCUGCACAUCUCUUGGAGGCUUACAUUUAGCCAUGAAG